ACCUUGCUUGAAAGGUGUGAACUGGAACUCCGGAAGGUACUUUUUCAGCUUUUCAUUGCUGGCUGUCUUCUUAAACUGGCCGUCUGAUUUAGUGGUGUCAUACUAUCACUUCACCUUUAAAGCCCAUCACUUCCACAACUGCCUCUGCUGCUUCUUUGAUGGACACCUCGUCUUCUUCACCAACUGGAACAUCACCACAGUUCAAUUUAAGAUGCUCUCCAUUAAA